ACACAUGCAGCCGAGCGGUAGAAGAUCUUCGGAUCUUUGAGAGCGGCGUACGGGUGCGGAACACGUGUGCAACCUGCCUUUAUCAGGGGGAUAGCCUUUCGAAAGGAAGAUUAAUACCCCAUAAUAUAAUGAGUGGCAUCACUUAUUAUUGAAAACUCCGGUGGAUAGAGAUGGGCACGCGCAAGAUUAGAUAGUUGGUAGGGUAACGGCCUACCAAGUCAGUGAUCUUUAGGGGGCCUGAGAGGGUGAUCCCCCACACUGGUACUGAGACACGGACCAGACUCCUACGGGAGGCAGCAGUGAGGAAUAUUGGACAAUGGGUGAGAGCCUGAUCCAGCCAUCCCGCGUGAAGGACGACGGCCCUAUGGGUUGUAAACUUCUUUUGUAUAGGGAUAAACCUUUCCACGUGUGGAAAGCUGAAGGUACUAUACGAAUAAGCACCGGCUAACUCCGUGCCAGCAGCCGCGGUAAUACGGAGGGUGCAAGCGUUAUCCGGAUUUAUUGGGUUUAAAGGGUCCGUAGGCGGAUCUGUAAGUCAGUGGUGAAAUCUCAUAGCUUAACUAUGAAACUGCCAUUGAUACUGCAGGUCUUGAGUAAAGUAGAAGUGGCUGGAAUAAGUAGUGUAGCGGUGAAAUGCAUAGAUAUUACUUAGAACACCAAUUGCGAAAGCAGGUCACUAUGUUUUAACUGACGCUGAUGGACGAAAGCGUGGGGAGCGAACAGGAUUAGAUACCCUGGGUAGUCCACGACCGUAAACGAUGCUAACUCGAUUUUUGGGGCUUGUCUGGAUUCAGAGACUAAGCCGAAAGCUGAUAAGUUAGGCCAUCCUCGGGGAGGUACGUUCGCA
rnacentral:rRNA from 1 species